UACGAUCACCGAAGUUAAGCAACGCUGAGCCUGGUCAGUACCUCGAUGGAUGACCGCUUGGGAAUAUCAGGUACUGUAAG